UUACUUAUCUAGAAAUACUUGUUUUUACUUUACCGUACUUAAUCGACAAAGAAAAAUAAGCAUAAUUGUGCUGCGGCGUUUGAAUUAAUCACUCUUAAGGAACUCGGCAAAAUAGUUCUGUAACUUCGGGAUAAAGAACACCUUUUAAUAAAGGUUUUAUAAAUAGGGAAUAGCGACUAGUUAAUAAAACUACAAGACUUUGCUAAAUUGUAAAAUGAUGUAUAAGGUCUGAUAUCUGCCCAGUGCUAGAAAGUUAUUUUAUGUGGUGAAAGCUAUGUAAAUAAGCUUUAGUAAACGGCGGUUGUAACUCUAACAAUCCUAAGGUAGCGAAAUUCCUAGUCAAUUAAUUGUUGACCUGCAUGAGAGAUAUAACGACUUUUCCACUGUCUCAAGAGUGAAUUCAGUGAAAUUAGAUUUUGCGUGAAGAUACGCAAUAACGGCAGUUAGACGGAAAGACCCCAUAAACCUUAACUAUAAUUUUAGAAUGUUUUUACAUAUAGCUUGUGUAGUAAUAAGUGGUAGUCGAUAGCAUGUCUUAACGUUAGUUAAUUACAGAGACAAAAAUGAAAGACCACUCUAGUUAUUUUGUAAAACUAAAUUAAAUUUUUAAUGAUAAUCUAAGAUGGUUAGUUUGACUGGGGCGGUAGUCUCCAAAAAAGUAACGGAGACCUACAAAGGUAGGCUCAAAUUUAGAUAAUAAAUUUUCGAACGCAAUGGUAUAUGCCUGCUUGACUGUGAGACAUACAAGUCGAACAGAGACGAAAGUCGGUCAUAGUGAUCCUAUGAUUUUGAAUGGAAAAGUCAUAGCUUAAGGAAUAAAAGGUACUUUGGGGAUAACAGGCUGAUAAUUCUCGAGAGCUCUCAUCAACAGAAUUGUUUGGCACCUCGAUGUCGACUCUUCAUAUCCUGGGGCUGAAAAAGGUCCCAAUGGUUUGGCUGUUCGCCAAUUAAAAUGGAACGUGAGUUGG
rnacentral:rRNA from 1 species